rnacentral:lncRNA from 1 species
GUCACGGCGACCUCGACGCGAUGACGACGAGCUAACAGAAGACGACGCGAGCGCGCGCUCACGGUUGACAUUUCCAUCCGCGCGCGCGAAGUCACCCUCCCAGCGAAGAUCCCGGAAAUGCCUGGCAGCGCCGGCUCGCUGAGGAGCGGAGCCCGCCGGGGCCCGUGCCGUCCACCUGAGCGCAGAAAACGCCCACGCGGAGCAGCUCGCGCUCCGCUCCACUUCCAGAGUUUUCCCGCUGCUCCGGCUGCCUUGCAUCCGCGCUCGCUGCUCUCGUGUUUUUGGCAGAAACGGGAGCGCGAGGUGCCGGAGUGCAAGUUAUUUUCGAGUUCAACCUCCGAGCUUAAAGCAGAAGAGCAGGGAACACGUGCGGUCGUGGAUCAAACCCAGGAGCAUGCGUUGUGCCAUGGAAACACUGGUGUGGGUGAUACCUGCCGGCAGCGUCAGUCUUCAUGCGGAGCCACCUGAUCUGGAUGUCUUUAGGUCACGGGAUAGAAACCUGAGAGAGAGAGAGAGACGUUGAAUCUCCUCUCCAAACAUCAGACCCGCGGAGCUGGGAACCCACAGUGCAGGGAGGUCAGCGGCACAUCUGUGCUGUUAUGUGAAAACCCAGGAAGGUAUUUUCCACCAAGCUAAUCAAGCCCCAUCAUAACUUUUUUUUUUCUGUUAGGGCCUAGACUGUUACUCAUCGUCUCCUCUGAUGGCGGAGGAGCAAGUGGAACGAGCACCGGGUCAACGGCGCCUUUGAACGCAUUACAAGCCUGUAAAAAAUGUAAUGAUGAAGAUUCCUCUGUCUCCCCCCUUUCCUCCCACCUCCCUCCCACUCUCUGCUUUCCUCCCUGCCUGCACCUGUCCUUUUCACACACGCUUGCAAU